rnacentral:rRNA from 1 species
CAGCCGUAAACGAUGCUCGCUAGGUGUCAGGCAUGGCGUGACUGUGUUUGGUGCCGAAGGGAAACCGUGAAACGUGCCGCCUGGGAAGUACGGUCGCAAGGCUGAAACUUAAAGGAAUUGGCGGGGGAGCACCACAACAGGUGGAGCCUGCGGUUUAAUUGGACUCAACGCCGGGAAGCUCACCGGAUAGGACAGCAGAAUGAUUGCCGGGCUGAAGACCCUGCAUGACUAGCUGAGAGGAGGUGCAUGGCGUCAGUGACU